UACGUAGGUCCCGAGCGUUGUCCGGAUUUAUUGGGCGUAAAGCGAGCGCAGGUGGUUUAUUAAGUCUGGUGUAAAAGGCAGUGGCUCAACCAUUGUAUGCAUUGGAAACUGGUAGACUUGAGUGCAGGAGAGGAGAGUGGAAUUCCAUGUGUAGCGGUGAAAUGCGUAGAUAUAUGGAGGAACACCGGUGGCGAAAGUGGCUCUCUGGCCUGUAACUGACACUGAGACUCGAAAGCGUGGGGAGCAAACAGG
rnacentral:rRNA from 1 species